AUUGAGAACAUGAGAUGAACCUAUAUAUAGUUAGAUAGAGAGGGAAUUAGAGUAGCCUUUGCUUGGUAACUAUCUGCAGCCGCAUGACUCAACGACCAU